UUGUAAAACCGUAACUUGGAUCUCAUUUAGUUUUUUUUCGGUUGGUUUCAAUCUGGUUUAUGAAUGUAUGAAUAUUUGAAAUAAUAAUAGUUUCACCAUUAUAUUUUGUUAUAAUAAGCAAAAGUCAUGGUGGUGGAGGUGAAUUGACCAAUGGCUCAUGUAUCACUGAAAGCACAAUGCCUUUUACCCACUUACCAUGG